rnacentral:lncRNA from 1 species
AAUAAUCUUUUUGGAUAAUCUGCAAAGGGACGUUUUGGAGCCCAUUGAUGGCUUUGGUUAAAAAUCUAGUAGUUCCAGAUAAAAGCUAGAAAGAAGCUAUCUAUGAAACAGCUUUGUGAUGUGUGGAUUCACCUCACAGAGUUGAAACUUUCUUUUGAUUCCGCAGGUUGGAAACACUCUAUUUGGACAAUCAGCAAAGAAACAUUCAGGCACUUAUUGAGGCCUUUGGGGAAAAACUGAAUAUUGUUAGAUAAUCACUAGAAAGAAGCUAUCUGUGAAACUAUUUUGUGAUGUGUGGAUUCAUCUCACAGAGUUAAAACUUUCUUUUGAUUCAGCAGCCUGGAAACCCUCUUUUUGGAGAAUCAGUGGAGGAAUUUUUAGGAGCCCAAUUUUACCUAUCAAAAAAAAAUUAUCACCAGAAGAAAAUGUAAAAGAAGCUAUUUGUGAAACUGAUUUGUGAUGUCUAAACUCAUCUCACAGAGCUAAACCUGUCUUCUACUCAUCAGGUUGGAAACACUCUUUUUGGAGAAUCUGCAAAGAGACAUUUGGGAGCCCAUUGAGACCUAUGGGGAAAAACUGAAUAUCUCCAGAUAAAAACUCAAAGGAAGCUGUCUGUGAAAGUACUUUCUGAUGUGUGGAUUCAUCUUACACAGUUAAACCUUUCUUUGGAUUGACCAGCAGGUUGUAAACACUCUUUUUGGAGUAUCUGUGAAGGGACAUUUGGGAAUCCAUUGAGGCCUAUGGAUAAAAACAAAAUAUCCCCAGACAAAAAUUACAAAGAAGCUAUUUGUGAAACUGCUUUGUGAUAUGUGGAUUCACAUCACAGAGGUAAGACUUUCCAUUGACUCAGCAGGUUGGAAAGACUCUUUUUAAAAAAUAUGUGAAGGGACGCUUGGAAGGACAUUUAGGCCUAAGGGGUAAAACUGAGUAUCCCCAGACAAAAACUAGAAAGAAGUUAUCUAUGAAACUGCUUUUUGUUGUUUGGUUUCAUCUCACAGAGUUAAACCUUUAUUUUGAUUCAGCAUUUUGGAAAUACUCUAUUUGUAGGAUCUGUGGAGGGGCAUUUGGGAGUCCGAUGAAGCCCAUGGGGAGAAACAAA